rnacentral:tRNA from 1 species
GCCGGAGUGGUGGAAUCGGUAGACACGACAGACUCAAAAUCUGUUGCCUGCAAGGGUGUGCGAGUUCGAGUCUCGCCUCCGGCACCA